AGCUCCAAUAGCGUAUACUAACGUUGUUGCAGUUAAAAAGCUCGUAGUUGGAUUUCUGAAUGUGGUUGGUUGUAUUGGUGGCGCUGCCGUCAGUCGCCAUACUACGUUCAAAACAUGUGAUGCUUGGGUGUGGUUGAUUAAUUUCGAUCCGCCCUUAAAUCGCUCGUUUACUUUGAGAAAAUUAGAGUGUUCAAAGCAGGCAUUGUGCUUGAAUAUGUUAGCAUGGAAUAAUAGCAUAGGACUUCAUGUUCUAUUUGUUGGUUGUUCGAGAACUAAAGUAAUGAUUGAUAGGGACGGUUGGGGGCAUCCGUAUUCUCAAGCGAGAGGUGAAAUUCUUGGACCUUGGGAAGACGAACAGCUGCGAAAGCGUUUGCCUAGGACGUUCUCU
rnacentral:rRNA from 1 species